rnacentral:rRNA from 1 species
UACGUAGGGUGCAAGCGUUGUCCGGAAUUAUUGGGCGUAAAGAGCUCGUAGGCGGUUUGUCACGUCGGAUGUGAAACCCUGAGGCUCAACCUCAGGCCUGCAUUCGAUACGGGCAGACUAGAAUUCGGCAGGGGAGACUGGAAUUCCUGGUGUAGCGGUGAAAUGCGCAGAUAUCAGGAGGAACACCGGUGGCGAAGGCGGGU